rnacentral:lncRNA from 1 species
AAACCAUAAUCAGGGCCCACGCUAAAUUCGGUAAUAAAUGGGCUACUAUUGCCCGUUUACUAUCGGGUCGGACUGAUAAUGCUAUUAAGAACCACUGGAACUCUACUCUUAAACGUAAGUGUUGUUCCAUGUCUGAAGAUUUAAGCUUUGAAACUCCUCAACAGCCUUUGAAAAGAUCGUCUAGUGUAGGUCCUAGUACCAACUUUUCUUCUGGUAUGAAUCCGGGUAGUCCUUCCGGAUCCGACUUGAGUGAUUCGAGUCUUUCGGGGUUUCCCCAGUCUCUUGUUUAUAGACCUGUACCGCGAACCGGCGGGAUUUUCCCUCUUCCUCCUCUAGUUCAACCGAUCGAAACUGCUCCAUUUAUACCCGACCCACCCACUUCUCUUUGCCUCUCACUACCCGGAUCCGGCACCCGUGAAACCUCGAUUCAGACUGCACAACCAACCCAGCUAACUCAGCCUCCUCAAUCACCACCACCUCCUCCUUUGGCUUUGCCGCCGGUUGAUAAACCCGUACCACCACCAACAGCUGUUUUCAUGUCUCAGCUUCCUCAAACUAAGCAAAGUUAUGAUUUUUGUGUACCAGCUUUACCCAAAUCAGGAGAGAAACAGUUUUUUACUCCGGAGUUUUUGGGAGUUCUACAAGAUAUGAUAAGAAAGGAAGUAAGGAAUUACAUGUCUGGUGUUGAACACAAUGGGCUUUGCAUGCAAACUGAUGCAAUAAGAAAUGCAGUAGUUAAGCGUAUUGGCAUUAGCAAGAUUGAGUGACGAUUAUGUGAGAUUACUGUUGGGAAAUAUUCAUAUAACAAUGGCAGCAGCUCAGCGAAAUGAUGUUGAAAUGAGACGGAGGAAACAAUGCAAGAUCGUAGUGUUUUUUUUUGUUUUUUUGUUUUUUUUGCCUUUCGUGGAACUCCAAUAUCGGGUCUACACAAAAAUAAUUUUGCAGUAAUGUACAGAUGAGAGAGAGAGAGAGAGAGAGAGAGAGAGAGAGAGAGAGAGAGGAGAUAAAAGAAAUUGAAAAAAGUAUCUAUUGUUCUGAUUAGGAAAAUGCACUGAAAAAUCCAUUCCACCAACCAAGAAAAUUAAGAAAACAAUAUUGAGAAUCUCAAGUCCCGUUUCCACUGAUGAAACUGCUGCCUUAAAUUAAUAUUUGACUA